rnacentral:SRP_RNA from 1 species
GUGAGGGUUGAGGUAUGUGGGUCCGUGUCACUAUCCCCAGGAUGUGGAUGGCGCGUCCAUCUCAAACCAGGAGUGGACAUUGGGACAUUGGCGUAAGCUAGUGUACCGAGGUCCGUAAAGAAGGGUAUACU